rnacentral:rRNA from 1 species
AACGAACGCUGGCGGCAUGCCUAACACAUGCAAGUCGAACGAGACCUUCGGGUCUAGUGGCGCACGGGUGCGUAACGCGUGGGAACCUUCCCUUAUGUUCGGAAUAACUCCCCGAAAGGGGUGCUAAUACCGGAUAAUAUCUUCGGACCAAAGAUUUAUCGCCUUUGGAUGGGCCCGCGUUGGAUUAGCUAGUUGGUAGGGUAAAAGCCUACCAAGGCGACGAUCCAUAGCUGGUCUGUGAGGAUGAUCAGCCACACUGGGACUGAGACACGGCCCAGACUCCUACGGGAGGCAGCAGUGGGGAAUAUUGGACAAUGGGCGAAAGCCUGAUCCAGCAAUGCCGCGUGAGUGAUGAAGGCCUUAGGGUUGUAAAGCUCUUUUAACCGGGAUGAUAAUGACAGUACCGGGAGAAUAAGCUCCGGCUAACUCCGUG